rnacentral:rRNA from 1 species
GACGAACGCUGGCGGCGUGCUUAACACAUGCAAGUCGAGCGAUGAAGCUCAUUCGGGAGUGGAUUAGCGGCGGACGGGUGAGUAACACGUGGGCACCCUGCCUUAUAGAGAGGAAUAGCCAUUCGAAAGGAUGAUUAAUACCUCAUAAUAUUGUAGCUUCGCAUGGAGCAACAAUCAAAGGAGCAAUCCACUAUAAGAUGGACCCGCGGCGCAUUAGCUAGUUGGUGAGGUAACGGCUCACCAAGGCGACGAUGCGUACCCGACCUGAGAGGGUGAUCGGCCACAUUGGGACUGAGACACGACCCAGACUCCGACGGGAAGCAGCAGUGGGGAAUAUUGCACAAUGGGGGAAACCCUGAUGCAGCAACGCCGCGUGAGUGAUGACGGCCUUCUGGUUGUAAAGCUCUGUCUUCAUGGACGAUAAUGACGGUACCUGAGGAGGAAGCCACGGCUAACUACGUGCCAGCCGCCGCCGUAA